CGUGCAGGCGCCACGGAAUGCUGCCAAAGGAAGCAGUGUUUAAACCGGGACCCAGAGAUGAGUAAGAAUGAGCAGGGAGAGGGGUGGGAGGGGAAGAGGAGAAGAACAGGUGCGAAGCCCUCAGGCAAGGAAGCUCGGCAUGGCUGCUCCUGGGGCAGGACAGCUGGGGAGGAGGUGGCCAGGGUGGCCAGGCCCCCCCGAGACCCCCAGGAGGGUCAGGAUGCUGCUGCACCAGGCGGACUUCCCACUGGGGCGAUGGGGCCUCGGGUGUCAGGAAGAGCUUUCUGGGGCCAAGUCUGGGAGGAUGGCAGGGGGGAAACUGAGAGGCCAGGAGGCCAGCGAGAGGCCCAAACUGAGGUAGUGGCAGGUGGUGGAAUGGUGGAGCUGAGAGCACGGCUCGUUAAGCACUGGCCCAGGCUGGGAAUCCUACAAAACUCCAGGUUGUGUUUGGUAAACGUGAGAGGUCCCACAUGAGCUCAAAGACUGUAAAGACAAGAGAAGCCUCUCCUAAACAGACGGAACAGAAGGAAAGAUGUUUGCCACUCAGGCGGACGAACACGUUGGCCGCCCUGCCCAGUGGAGAAUGGACAUGGCGUGGCAUGGGGGGAGGGGAUCAAACAUGGAAGCUGCGAGACCAGUUUGGAUGCAGUGGCACCCAUCCAGGAAUUGCCAACGAGGGAAGUGGCAGCGAGGGAGAGAUCAAGGACCAUUCCCAGCUUUCGAUCGAUCGGAGUGACCGGGGAGAGGAUGAUGUCCUUUACAAACCAGGGGAAGACUCAGGGCAAAGAUUGUGGGCACCCGCAGGGACGAUGGGGGAGUUAAGCAAGGCACACGGCGGGUACCAGAAAAACUGCCAACCGAGAGCUGGUCGGGAACACAACAAGAAGACCGACGUGAGGGGCCGUCUGCUCAUCCCGCAAACGCUCGUUUUCCUGGAUCUCUCACGCCGGGCUGUUCCAG
rnacentral:lncRNA from 1 species